GAUAUCUUGUUUUUAAACAAAAAUAUUAAUCUAUCCUAGACACAUCUAAAUGAAAGAUUCCUGAUCCCAGUCUUCUUUAGGUUGAUGGUGGUCUGCAGACUCACUUUGUGCUAUCCAUGGGUGAUCUUAGUCUAGACCUUAGCCAACAGGCUAUGCUUGACCUAGGAGAAGAAAUUUAUCUGGAAGGAACAAAUUACCAGCCAUAUUACAGCAAGAACAUAGCUCUUUUCUGCUCCACUAACAAGAUAUUUGGACCUUAUAUAGUAGCAGUGGUCUUGCUCUUCCAGUAAAACAGGUCAUACUGCUGCAGGAAUAGACAACUUUCCUAGAACAAGUAGAACUGGAACAGAGUUUUUCUUGAUGUGUUGUCUCAAGUUACUAACAUACCACCGCAAUUCCAAGACUCUGAAUGGUUUAAUGGUUCUGCCAUUAAAACUAGCAGAACAGCACAAGACAAUUCCUAUCAACAACAGCAAGCCAGGUUGUCAUCAUUCUUCAAAAGCAUAGCUUAAAUAAAAUGGUUUGGUUGCAUUUGAGUAAGGCUAAUAAUGAAGAAACUGGAUAAGCCUCUGGGAACAUGCCUACAGCAUCAG